rnacentral:rRNA from 1 species
GACGAACGCUGGCGGCGUGCCUAAUACAUGCAAGUAGAACGCUGAAGGAGGAGCUUGCUUCUCUGGAUGAGUUGCGAACGGGUGAGUAACGCGUAGGUAACCUGCCUGGUAGCGGGGGAUAACUAUUGGAAACGAUAGCUAAUACCGCAUAAGAGUAGAUGUUGCAUGACAUUUGCUUAAAAGCUGCAAUUGCAUCACUACCAGAUGGACCUGCGUUGUAUUAGCUAGUUGGUGGGGUAACGGCUCACCAAGGCGACGGUACAUAGACGACCCGAGGGGGGGGACGCCCACACUGGGAAUGGAACAAGGCCCAGACUCCCACGGGCAGCAGCCGUAGGGGAUCUUCGGCAAUGGACGGAAGUCCGACCGAACCACGCCGCGUGAGUGAAGAAGGUUUUCGGAUCGUAAAGCUCUGUUAUAAGAGAAGAACGAGUGUGAGAGUGGAAAGUUCACACUGUGACGGUAUCUUACCAGAAAGGGACGGCUAACUACGUG